UUAGGUAGCAAUCUUUUUAGCCAUUUCACGUGAUAUAUAUGAUACAAGCAUAGCAUUUGAGACUACCUAUACAAUUAGAUUUUAGUUGCUCAGUGAUUUUUUUUGGGUCAUGAGUUGCUCAGUUUUUUUUGGUAGAAACUCAGGUGUAAUUAAUUUUAUAUGAAGUUGAUAAUUGAGAAUUGUUAAAUGAAAAUUUAGUUAAAUUAUUUAACAAUUUUUAACUAUCAACUUCAUCUGAAGUUGACUGUAAAUUUUUAUUUAUCUUUUUUCUUUUAAUCUUUGUUGUUAUCAUUUUUUUUUCUGAAAUAAAAUCUACAAAUUUAUAUAGAUUAUGAUUAACCUUUUUUCAAAUCUGAUCCUUUUAAUUUAUAAAAUUGUAAUCAUAUUAGUCUGGGGCUUAGGCUUUUUAUGCUCACAGAUCUACCCUUCAAAAUACAUUCAAUUUUCAUUCUGCUAUUCACGCUAGGGACAGAAAUACGAUUCCAAUUUCUAUUCUUGCGUUUUAGUUUUACUUGGUGAUUGUAGGAUUGUGGUUCUUUGAUUAUGCUUGUAACUUCACUGGCCCGUACUUUCUAUUACCUUACAAGUUACAAAUUACAUUGUUCUUGCAGGUGGUGGUGGAAGGAGGCUGGGAACAAGUAACAACUAUGGCACUUGCCCCUUCUUUUAAUGUCCAUUAAUAAACUUUUUAAGUUCAACUUAAAACUGGCACCCUUGAGUUUGUAAAUCUCAGACUACGUUAUCUAUCUUGCAUUUUCGGGCGUUAUAGUGUUUGUGGAAUUCAAGGUUUGAUCUCUGUUAGUUCCAAGCAGAUGGAGAUAGUGAGGAAGUUGGAGGGAUUGCUUUAAGUAUGGCAUUGAGAAUCAAGGUGGUGGUUACCCUCUGCAGGGCCUUCUCUUCAAUUUGGUAACUCAUGAAACAUUGGAAAAUGAGAGAGAGACUUUGUUUGGGAUCCUAGGUGAUCCAGCUCGUCUAAGGCUUGACCCUGUUAAAAUGAGAGAAAUGAGAUUAUUGAUGUUUCCUCAUGAAGAAGAGCCUGAGGAAUUGAGUAACAAAGCAUCCCGUCAGUAAGGAAUAUGCAAGGCCUUUGCAAAAUUCUGCUCAGGCAAUGCCCCAUAGAUCCACUCCACCAAUUGCAAGGAAAACUCCAUUUCCUUUACUUGAAUAUAAACAUGGGAGAUUUGAUGCAAAUUCUCCUGGGUCUAUUUUGAUGGUUCAGCAACAUAAGGGAAUGCCUCCGAAGACAAUAAAAGCAGAAGGUUUUUUAAGUUAGAUCUCAAGCAUGAUGUUCGCAAUACUGUAGAUGCAGCUCUAUUUAUGGGCAAGUCAUUCCAAGUUGGAUGGGGACCUAAUGGCAUUCUCAUACAUUCUGGUGGACCUGUAGGAAGUGGUAGUGAGUACAAGAUAUUAUCAUCUGUUGUCAGUUUGGAGAAAGUUGCUUUUGACAAUUUCGUUAGGGAUGAAAAUAACAAAGUGAGUGAAGGAAGAGGUUAGAAUUGGUCCUUGCAAAUUGAAACUUCUAAAGCUUGAAGCGAAUUGUACAAUGUUGUCUGAUAUUUUUGAGAGGCAAUUGACUGUACUGGGGUUGUCUUCCACUACACGCUUGGGUUUAACACACCAAGUAAUGACCUUUGAGUUAAUUAGAGUUCUUUUCUUCAAUAGAAAACAAAAAGGUUAAGUAGAAUGUUUGGGUGCUGACAACGAGGAAGAUAUGAUGCAGGAUAUGAAGGAAGUUUAUCAAGAUGUUGACCAAGAAGCACUCCCACUUGUGAGGAGGGCAGAGUUCAGUUAUUGGUUGCGAGAGUGUUUCUUAUCAUGUUCAAAACCAAAUAAGCUCUCACUGGGUAGAUGAAGCAGUGCAACUGGCAGCUUCCAAAGGAAAUGUGAGGCUGGCUUGUUUGUGGUUCUACUGUGAAUCUCUCUGGCAUUUCAAAGCAACUUGAUAUUUGGAGAAAGAAAUGUCUGGAUUUUAGUUUCAUUGAAAACGACAGAGUGAGGUAUGAUUUGUUAAGGUUUACAAUUAAAUAAAAAUAAAGGUGUGCCCUAGCAAUCUAAGGUGUGUCCUUAUCUUGAGCCUUUCUUAUUUUGAGGUAUGCUGUGAGAAAGGUCAUCUGUUGCAGAUUGGUGUAAUGGUGUAUUCGAAAACGGGGAGUGAGAUAUGUGAUGUGCUGCUAUCUGCUAUGGGCGAGGGUGCUAGCCGAGUUGAACAGUUUAGCUGCUUUGACACUGCUUUCAGUUUCGCUCUGGUCACUUGCAGGACGCAGUGUAUCUGUGACCAGCUUUCUUUCUGAAAUUGCUACUUAAUUCCGCAGUAAUACAUGUAUAUAAUUCGUUAUUGGACUUAAUUAGUUACUAGAGUGUGAUACUUCAUUUCACUAUAUAUAUAUAAUAAAUAAAGGGAUCUUAGGAG